rnacentral:rRNA from 1 species
UACAGAGGUCUCAAGCGUUGUUCGGAUUCAUUGGGCGUAAAGGGUGCGUAGGUGGCGGGGCAAGUUUGGUGUGAAAUCCCGGGGCUCAACCUCGGAACUGCACUGAAUACUGCCUUGCUAGAGCACUGGAGAGGGAACUGGAAUUUACGGUGUAGCAGUGAAAUGCGUAGAUAUCGUAAGGAAGACCAGUGGCGAAGGCGAGUUCCUGGACAGUUGCUGACACUGAGGCACGAAGGCUAGGGGAGCAAACGGG